GUUGGAAGACUAGGGAAUUUGACGAGCCUCUCCACUUUGCAGACUUGCCCCAGCUUGUCCAUCUGGACCUCAGUUUCAACUAUCUCUUGGGAGGCCCAAUCCCAUCAAGCAUUGGCACUCUCGUGAAGCUCGAAUACCUCGAUUUAUCCAGCAACAAUCUUGAUGGAUAUAUCCCACAUUUCGUAGGUAACUGUAUAAAGAUGUCAUCCAUCAAUCUCUUUUACUACAAUUAUUUUCUGCCAUGCCUAGUACAGUAGGAAGACAAGGGAAUUUGGCGAGCCACUCCACUUCGUAGACUUGCCCCAGCUUGCCCAUCUGGACCUCAGCUACAACAAUUUCUUGGGCCCAAUCCCAUCAAGCAUUGGUACUCUCGUGAAGCUCGAAUACCUGGGUCUAUCUAGCAACCAUCUUCAUGGAUCUAUCCCACAUUCCGUAGGUAACUGUACAAAACUAUCCUCCACCGAUCUCUUUUACUACAAUUUUUUAUGCCAUGCCUAGUACAGUAAGAAGAUUAGGGAAUUUGAUGAGCCUCUCCACUUUGCAGACUUGCCCCAUCUUGUCCAUCUAGACCUCGGUCAGAACAGUCUCUCAGGCGCAAUCCCGUCAAGCAUUGGUGUUCUUGCCAAGCUCGUAUACUUGCAUCUGUCUGGCAAUGACCUGGACAGAUUUAGCCCAACAUCCAUUGGUAAUUGUACUAAGCUAACCUCCAUCGAUUACUUUUACUAUAAUUUGUUUGUACCAUGCCUAGUAUGGUUGGAAGACUAGGGAAUUUGACGAGCCUCUCCACUUUGCAGACUUGCCCCAGCUUGUCCAUCUGGACCUCAGUUUCAACUAUCUCUUGGGAGGCCCAAUCCCAUCAAGCAUUGGCACUCUCGUGAAGCUCGAAUACCUCGAUUUAUCCAGCAACAAUCUUGAUGGAUAUAUCCCACAUUUCGUAGGUAACUGUAUAAAGAUGUCAUCCAUCAAUCUCUUUUACUACAAUUAUUUUCUGCCAUGCCUAGUACAGUAGGAAGACAAGGGAAUUUGGCGAGCCUCUCCACUUUGCAGACUUGCCCCAGCUUGCCCAUCUGGACCUCAGCUACAACAAUUUCUUGGGCCCAAUCCCAUCAAGCAUUGGUACUCUCGUGAAGCUCGAAUACCUGGGUCUAUCUGGCAACCAUCUUCAUGGAUCUAUCCCACAUUCCGUAGGUAACUGUACAAAACUAUCCUCCAUCGAUCGCUUUUACUACAAUUUUUUAUGCCAUGCCUAGUACAGUAGGAAGACUAGGGAAUUUGAUGAGCCUCUCCACUUUGCAGACAUGCCCCAUCUUGUCCAUCUAGACCUCAGUCAGAACAGUCUCUCAGGCGCAAUCCCGUCAAGCAUUGGUGUUCUUGCCAAGCUCGUAUACUUGGAUCUGUUUGGCAAUGACC
rnacentral:lncRNA from 1 species